GACCAUAUUUACUGUUGCCGUGGGGAACGGGUCAGUAACAACGCUCAUCUUCUUCUCUGGAAAUCUCAGUUUGCCAUUAUCAAUCCAGCUUUAGACGUUGUCUCAAAACACGACGUAAUUGUUUGUCGUAUGUUUGCUUGAAUUAUGGUAUUUGCAAUAUAUCUUUCUUUUAAGCUCUUCGGCCUUGGGAAUGUUGUGCCCAGGCCGAAGUUUGAUGAUCCUCGCU
rnacentral:lncRNA from 1 species